rnacentral:lncRNA from 1 species
CCCCUCCUCCGCCAGCCGCGUCCUCCCGGGCUUGGUGAGGAACUGUUCCUGGAGGAGCCGCGGGACGCCAAAACCAGCCAAUGGGAAGCGGCGAUUCGCGGAGAUUGGCACUGAUGAUGGGAAGUUCUUAAAGAUGUUGAAACAGGCCCGGUAUGGUAGCUCACGCCUGUAAACCCAGCACUUUGGGAGGCCGAGGUGGGUAGAUCACAAGGUCAGGAGGUCAAGACCAGCCUGGCCAAGAUGGUGAAACCCCGUCUCUACUAAAACAAAAAUUAGCCAGGCGUGGUAGCGGGCACCUGUAAUCCCAGCUACUCGGGAGGCUGAGGCAGAGAAUUGCUUGAACCUGGGAGGUAGAGGUUGCAGUGAGCCGAGAUUGCAACAUGCACUCCAGCCUGGGCGACAGAGCCAGAUUCCUUCUCAAAAAAAAAAAAAAAAAAAAAAAAGAUAUUGAAACAGCUUGAAGCAAGACCUGUUCUUUCUAGGGUUCUCAGUCUCUUUUGGAGUUAGUUUCGGUGGGCUUUACCAACGGAAGGGAGAGGUAAACAUGGCUGGAGGGUAUGCCUGGCAGUAGAUUUGGGAGAGGGAAUUUCUU